rnacentral:rRNA from 1 species
UACGUAGGGUGCAAGCGUUAAUCGGAAUUACUGGGCGUAAAGCGUGCGCAGGCGGUUUUGUAAGUCUGACGUGAAAUCCCCGGGCUCAACCUGGGAACUGCGUUUGAAACUACAAGGCUAGAGUGUGGCAGAGGGGGGUGGAAUUCCACGUGUAGCAGUGAAAUGCGUAGAGAUGUGGAGGAACACCGAUAGCGAAGGCAGCCCCCUGGGAUGAUACUGACGCUCAUGCACGAAAGCGUGGGGAGCAAACAGG